rnacentral:rRNA from 1 species
GAUUAUCAUUAAUCGUACCCCAAACCGACACAGGUGGUCAGGUAGAGAAUACUCAGGCGCUUGAGAGAACUCGGGUGAAGGAACUAGGCAAAAUGGUGCCGUAACUUCGGGAGAAGGCACGCUGGCACUAGGUGAAGUGGUUUACCCAUGGAGCUGAAGCCAGUCGCAGAUACCAGCUGGCUGCAACUGUUUAUUAAAAACACAGCACUGUGCAAACACGAAAGUGGACGUAUACGGUGUGACGCCUGCCCGGUG